rnacentral:tRNA from 1 species
UACACCUUAAUAUAUGAUGUAUAAAGAUUUUUGGUUUCUGAAGAAGUAGUUUGACUCUACUAGGUGUAA